GACUUGGAGGUUGUGCCCUUGAGGCGUGGCUUCCGGAGCUAACGCGUUAAGUCGACCGCCUGGGGAGUACGGCCGCAAGGUUAAAACUCAAAUGAAUUGACGGGGGCCCGCACAAGCGGUGGAGCAUGUGGUUUAAUUCGAUGCAACGCGAAGAACCUUACCUGGUCUUGACAUCCACGGAAGUUUUCAGAGAUGAGAAUGUGCCUUCGGGAACCGUGAGACAGGUGCUGCAUGGCUGUCGUCAGCUCGUGUUGUGAAAUGUUGGGUUAAGUCCCGCAACGAGCGCAACCCUUAUCCUUUGUUGCCAGCGGUCCGGCCGGGAACUCAAAGGAGACUGCCAGUGAUAAACUGGAGGAAGGUGGGGAUGACGUCAAGUCAUCAUGGCCCUUACGACCAGGGCUACACACGUGCUACAAUGGCGCAUACAAAGAGAAGCGACCUCGCGAGAGCAAGCGGACCUCAUAAAGUGCGUCGUAGUCCGGAUUGGAGUCUGCAACUCGACUCCAUGAAGUCGGAAUCGCUAGUAAUCGUGGAUCAGAAUGCCACGGUGAAUACGUUCCCGGGCCUUGUACACACCGCCCGUCACACCAUGGGAGUGGGUUGCAAAAGAAGUAGGUAGCUUAACCUUCGGGAGGGCGCUUACCACUUUGUGAUUCAUGACUGGGGUGAAGUCGUAACAAGGUAACCGUAGGGGAACCUGCGGUUGGAUCAC
rnacentral:rRNA from 1 species